rnacentral:rRNA from 1 species
AGUGAACGCUGGCGGUAGGCCUAACACAUGCAAGUCGAACGGCAGCACAGUAAGAGCUUGCUCUUACGGGUGGCGAGUGGCGGACGGGUGAGGAAUACAUCGGAAUCUACUUUUUCGUGGGGGAUAACGUAGGGAAACUUACGCUAAUACCGCAUACGACCUACGGGUGAAAGCAGGGGAUCUUCGGACCUUGCGCGAUUGAAUGAGCCGAUGUCGGAUUAGCUAGUUGGCGGGGUAAAGGCCCACCAAGGCGACGAUCCGUAGCUGGUCUGAGAGGAUGGUCAGCCACAUUGGAAGUGAGACACCGACAAGACGCCUGCGGGAGGCAGCAGUGGGGAAUGUUGGACAGUGGUGGCGAGCCUGAUCCAGCCAGACCGCGUGUGUGAAGAAGGCCUUCGGGUUGGAAAGACGGUCUGUUGGGAGAGAAAAGCAUCAGGUUAAUACCCCGCUGUUCUGACGGUACCCAAAGAAUAAGCACCGGCUAACUUCGUG